rnacentral:rRNA from 1 species
AUUGAACGCUGGCGGCAGGCCUAACACAUGCAAGUCGGACGAGUGGCGGACGGGUGAGUAAUGUCUGGGAAACUGCCUGAUGGAGGGGGAUAACUACUGGAAAAGGUAGCUAAUACCGCAUACCAUCAGAUGUGCCCAUAUGGGAUUAGCUUGUGGGUGGGGUAACGGCUCACCAAGGCGACGAUCCCUAGCUGGUCUGAGAGGAUGACCAGCCACACUGGGACUGAGACACGGCCCAGACUCCUACGGGAGGCAGCAGUGGGGAAUAUUGCACAAUGGGCGCAAGUCGGAUGCAGCCAUGCCGCGUGUAUGAAGAAGGCCUUCGGGUUGUAAAGUACUUUCAGUGGGGAGGCGUUACCGACAGAAGAAGCACCGGCUAACUCCGUGCCAGCAGCCGCGGUAAUUC